CCAAUAGCGUAUAUUAAAGUUGUUGCAGUUAAAAAGCUCGUAGUUGAAUUUCGGAAUUUUUUUAUCGGUUGAAUCAACAGGUUCUUACUGAUUUUAAGAAUUUCUACCUUCUGGAGAACCUUAAUGUCAUUUAUUUGAUGUUUUGGGAAACCAGGACUGUUACCUUGAAAAAAUUAGAGUGUUUAAAGCAGGCUUAUGUCUGAAUAUAUUAGCAUGGAAUAAUGAAAUAGGACGGCAUGGUUCUAUUUUGUUGGUUUCUAGGAUCACCGUAAUGAUUAAUAGGGAUAGUUGGGGGCAUUAGUAUUCAAUUGUCAGAGGUGAAAUUCAUGGAUUUAUUGAAGACUAACUUCUGCGAAAGCAUUUGCCAAGGAUGUUUUCAUUAAUCAAGAACGAAAGUUAGGGGAUCGAAGACGAUCAGAUACCGUCGUAGUCUUAACCAUAAACUAUGCCGACUAGGAAUCGGACGAAGUUAAUUUUUUAAUGACUCGUUCGGCGCCUUACG
rnacentral:rRNA from 1 species